GGCGGGAUAAGCUGUUAUUAUAUUUUCCGCGCGUAGGUGUGCUGGUAUACGGAAUGUAUGUUUUUGUCACCUCUCGUGCACUGUUUUCCGCUGGCGAUAUUAUAAUAAUAAUAUGUACCUAGGCGUAGCCGUGGUUUACUACGAGUCCGCGUCGAUGGGAUUCCACCGAGGUACGCAUUUUUCAAAACUACGUAACAUUAUUCCCUCUACUGCGGACGUCGGUUUUAAAAAGACGAACGAUUAAAUCAAAAAUAGACGCGACGGUGUGACAAUUAAUCGAAUAAAAAUUCAUCGAUUUUAUUUUACCACUUCAUAUUAUCCAUUCUGUAUGUUUACUCUGUUCAAGCAUUUUUUUGUUGUUGCAAAUGUGCAGUUGUUCAUACAAUGCUUUAUUGAUGAAACUAAAUAAUUCUGAAAAGAAUGUAAAAUGUAUUGGUUUUUCAAUAAAGUGUUUAAAAAAAAAAUGUUUAUUUAUUUUUGGGACACUAAAAUAAGCUCAAACAGUUUGAUACAGUUUCUAUCGAGAUUGAAUAUUGAACACAGAUGGUACUUUAAAAGACAAAUGUUCGCCAUUUUUGGUUAUACCAAGCUCUACUCAAAAUCGCUUCUCGGAUGCAAUGAUUUAUCAUUGCUUUUAAAUAUAAAGACACUCGCUAUUAUGGCCCAUCCAAAUUUAUUACCAUCAGUAUUCAGUACUUUUUUAUUCAGUAAUGGUACGCAAACAUUUUCGUAAAUGACAUAAGAAAUAUCCAUUGUUCAAUCGACAAGUAUAAUUGGAUGGUUUUAUAUAUUUAAAUGUGUUGUUAUUAAAUGUAAUAUAAAGUAAUAACGAUUUUAUUUAAAAACUCUUUUUCUGUUAUAUAUAAUAUUAUAUAAAUUAUAAAUCCGCAUUAUCUUAAAACAAUUCAACAUUAAUAUUAUUUGCAUAUUUCCACAAUUUUUUUAUUAAAAAUAUUAGUCAUGGUUUUAUUUUCAACUGGUUA